GUCAAAGUGAGCGUACUUUGCAUCGCAGGCCAUGGGGGUGAAGUCCAGCUUGUGUUUGGUUCUGAAGGUCAUGUUCUUGGUCCUGAUCUCCAGGAUGGAGGGGGGCUGGAGAGGCGUAGCGAUGGCAAACAGGGCCAGCUGGGGCGGCGCCUUGACCAUGUUUUCCUGCCGCUGGUUCUGACCACGCAGGAACUUCAGCCUGCCCUGCAGACUCAGGGCCUGGCAGGGGCAGGGGGAGGGGGGAAACGCAAACAUUUAGUCUUAGACAUGUAUCUUUUCGUCUUCGAUUGUCCAUGUGUUUGAAUAUCUGUCCAAAGUCUAUCCAACAACAAUCUGAUUUACAUCCAUCAAAAUUGUAUUUCAACGUGUAUAUCACAUCACCCUAUGUCAAUGUGUGAGCUUUCCUCUGAGUGAGCUUAAAAUACUAAUAGACCAACACUAUUGGGAGGUUGUAGGCAUUCGGUCGGGGUGAGGUGUCAAUAACACCUACCAGGAAGCUCAGAGACUCACCAGGAAGCUGAGAGACUCACCAGGAAGCCAGAGGAGUUGUCCAGGAGGCAGCGGAAGCGGCACACGAAGUUCCUCUCCAGGAAGGAGGAGUUCUCUGGUGGGAGCUGCUCAGGGUUAUAGGUCACAGUGGUGCUGCUCUCCGGCUCCACAUCUAUGGAUCAGAAGAUAUGACAUGUUCAGACCAGGCUUUUAUCAUCAAAAUCAUCUAACCACCUAUUGUACUAUGUUUGGAAACGAUCCUCAAGAUUACAGCAUACAGGUCACUGCGCUUUCUGGUACUGGUCGGUCACGUGGUCCAUCCAACGCAUCCAUGAGGAAAAAGGCUGCCACGUCCUACCACUGCCCCGUCCUACCGCUGCCUCGUCCUACCACUUCCUCGUCCUACCUCUACCCAGUCCUGCCUCGUCCU